CACGUAGGCACCAAGCGUUGUCCGGAUUUAUUGGGCGUAAAGAGCUCGUAGGUGGUUCGGUAAGUCGGAUGUGAAAUCUCCAGGCUCAACCUGGAGGGGUCAUUCGAUACUGCCGUGACUAGAGUUCGGUAGGGGAGUGUGGAAUUCCUGGUGGAGCGGUGAAAUGCGCAGAUAUCAGGAGGAGCACCCGUAGCGAAGGCGGCACUCUGGGCCGAUACUGACACUGAGGAGCGAAAGCGUGGGGAGCGAACAGG
rnacentral:rRNA from 1 species